rnacentral:rRNA from 1 species
GGGUUGUGAGGUUAAGCGACUAAGCGUACACGGUGGAUGCCCUGGCAGUCAGAGGCGAUGAAGGACGUGCUAAUCUGCGAUAAGCGCCGGUAAGGUGAUAUGAACCGUUAUAACCGGCGAUUUCCGAAUGGGGAAACCCAGUGUGAUUCGUCACACUAUCAUUAACUGAAUCCAUAGGUUAAUGAGGCGAACCGGGGGAACUGAAACAUCUAAGUACCCCGAGGAAAAGAAAUCAACCGAGAUUCCCCCAGUAGCGGCGAGCGAACGGGGAGGAGCCCAGAGCCUGAAUCAGCAUGUGUGUUAGUGGAAGCGUCUGGAAAGGCGCGCGAUACAGGGUGACAGCCCCGUACACAAAAGCGCAUGUGCUGUGAGCUCGAUGAGUAGGGCGGGACACGUGGUAUCCUGUCUGAAUAUGGGGGGACCAUCCUCCAAGGCUAAAUACUCCUGACUGACCGAUAGUGAACCAGUACCGUGAGGGAAAGGCGAAAAGAACCCCGGCGAGGGGAGUGAAAAAGAACCUGAAACCGUGUACGUACAAGCAGUGGGAGCACAGGUUUACCUGUGUGACUGCGUACCUUUUGUAUAAUGGGUCAGCG